rnacentral:lncRNA from 1 species
CGCUGGAUUUUGUUGUUGUGUGUGUACUACAGUGUGUGAGAUGUGCUAGUAUUUGUGUACGGUGUUUGUUUUUGAUUCUAAAGUUCGGAGAAGUCCAGUGCUUUGCAGAGAUCUGAAAGCUUAAGAUUGAUUAAUGGAAGUGAAUUUUCCUACCAAAUUGUUCUCCUUUUUCUAUUGACAUCACUGUGUGUAAGAUUUUUGAUGUCAUAAAAUUUGUGACAAAUGAAGAGCUGAAGAUAAGGAAGGAUCUCUUACCUAACCCUACUUUCUCCGUGUCCUGACUGAUUUUCGCACGUGAUAAAUUAAUUUGGCUGUCGACAUUGGAUAUCUUUCCAAUUAUUAUGUGUAGUUAACUAUUCGAAAAGUGAUUUUAUAUGAAUAAUUUCAACCAUCCUAGAUGAAAGUGUGAAGAUGGACACAAGUUUUGCUUGCGUAUGACCAUUGCUAUAGGUACAUUUUGUGACUCAUCCUUUUUUCAAUUAGAAACAAGAGCUUUCCUCGGAGAGUGGAAAACCUUUUCAGAGUUCUGAAGCGCUAGCAGCAGGUUGUCUCGUCACCAAGAACUCAAUGGAGGAAAGAGCAAGUCCUGACGUUUGGUCGCAGGAAACUGUUGAUCUUCUAGACUCCAUCCUAGAAUCUUAUCGCGAAAACAACGAAGAGAAACUGCUUAAACUAGAAGACGAUGUAAACACAAUGAAGGGUCUCAUUCAAUGCUCUCUGGCGUCACGCAUACUCAGUGUCCAGAAAGAAAACGAAGCCCUGCUCCUCGAGCAAGCCCGGACUCAGAGAGAGCUAACCAGUGUUCAGAAUGAACUAUCUGCGACCAGAGAAGAGCGCGAAAAAGCCCUGAUUUUUCAACAAGUGCUUAGAAAAGAUCAAGAAGAGCUAACAACCGUCCGGAGCGAAUUAGCUGCGACAAAGCGAGAGCUAGAACAGGUGAAAAGGCAGUGCGCGGCUGCCAAAAAAGCAGCGACAGAUUUGCAGAAAAAGCAGUCGACGCUGGAGAAAACCAAUCAAUCGCUGAGAAGUGACAAAGAAAAUUAUGUAGAGCGACUAACCCAACAAAGUUCCUACUGCGUAUCGCUAGGAGCCGCAAUGGGAACACUUCUCUGGAAAUGUACGAGUUUGCCCGGGACUAUCGAACUACUUUCCCGAACGGAGAAGACGAAAGAACUGCUACACUUGACCGGAACGACGCUAAAUACAUUCAUUGCAUCUUGUCCUGACUCUUUCCCUGAGGAAGGUUCCCGUGAGUUACUGUUCAUAUCUUCGCUGCUUGGAAUCAUCGCAAAUCUAGUGACUUUAAAAGAAGGCUGUUUCACGCUCACUUCCACCUCCAACGGAGCAGGGACUCUCAUCGACCCGAUUCUAGAAGCUCUACCCACCAUUUACUUGAAAGCCGGAGCUAAUCUUAGAUCGCUGGAUCCGAUCUUCCAAUCGCCCCAGGAGACCCGAAGAAGCAGCAACCGGAGAGGCAACUCUGCGGCCCCGUGCCCCCGCUGACGUCACCGGGGGUCCGGUUGACGCGGGGGUGGAGCGGACCCGGCCCGGGAUUCGAGGAAUGCCAGGAAUCGUAAGACCAAAGGGCCGGGUCCCUUGCCGAUAAACAAAAAAACGAAAAAACAAAAGCACCUCGGAUCGGAAUGAGCCAAGCGACCUUCGCCGGAGCCCAUCAGAAACCACGAAUCCCCCGAAGCUUAGCAUUGGGCUUAGGCGGUUCUUACUCACGGGAUCGUCGGAACGCCCUCCGGCCGAGGCGCAAAUUUCCGCCCAUGUCCAGCAACUCCUGGAGCGAGCAUCGAGGUUGAAGCAACCCCCGUCCGGAAGGAGGCUCAGUUGGUUUCGUGCCGCUGUUGAUCGUUGACUCUGGUGCGCGCCGCGCAAGCGUUAUGGGAACCGCGAGAUAGAACCCCGGACGCUCUUCGGACCAUGGAUCUCAGCCGUCAGCUUCGGUGAGUUGCACCAAUUUUUCACACCGUUUUCGCACCGUUUUCGCACCGUUUUCGCACCUGUGCCCAUUCGGGGCCGCCCAGUCCCCGACCGGGGGCUCUGCUGACAAGGUCGCGUGGCUGUGUCGCCGGCGCUCGCAUGGGUAUGAGAACUCGUGGUUUUGAUUCUUUGAAACUUUUUGGUUUUUCCCCUUUUUGUGUUUUGUGUUUUGUUUUAUGCCUUGAUUUUUUCAAUAAAAUCUCACCUCAGAUGCUUAGGAGAGUUAAGCUCACCAAGAUUCGUGUUUCAUACUGUUAUCACUCUCGCAUGGUUAUGAGAAUUCGCGGUUUAAAUUCUUUGAAACUUUUUGGUUUUUUCCCUCUGUUUUGGGGUUUUGUUUUAUGCCUUGAGUUUUUUUUAAAGAAA